rnacentral:rRNA from 1 species
AACGUAGGUGGCGAGCGUUAUCCGGAUUCACUGGGCGUAAAGCGCCUGCAGGCGGCCCAGCAAGUGGGAUGUGAAAUCUCCCGGCCCAACUGGGAGGGGUCAUUCCAUACUGCGGGGCUGGAGGGCAGAAGAGGGAAGUGGAAUUCCCGGUGUAGUGGUGAAAUGCGUAGAUAUCGGGAGGAACACCAGUGGCGAAGGCGGCUUCCUGGUCUGCACCUGACGCUCAGAGGCGAAAGCUAGGGGAGCGAACGGG